GCAAGUCGAGGGGUAACAGGGAGUGCUUGCACUCUGCUGACGACCGGCGCACGGGUGCGUAACGCGUAUGCAAUCUACCUCUUACUGAGGGAUAGCCCAUGGAAACGUGGAUUAAUACCUCAUAGUAUUAUAGACUGGCCUCAGUUUAUGAUUAAAGGUUACGGUAAGAGAUGAGCAUGCGUCCUAUUAGCUAGAUGGUAAGGUAACGGCUUACCAUGGCUACGAUAGGUAGGGGUCCUGAGAGGGAGAUCCCCCACACUGGUACUGAGACACGGACCAGACUCCUACGGGAGGCAGCAGUGAGGAAUAUUGGACAAUGGGCGAGAGCCUGAUCCAGCCAUGCCGCGUGCAGGAAGACGGCCCUAUGGGUUGUAAACUGCUUUUACAGAGGAAGAACCCUCCUUACGUGUAAGGAGCUGACGGUACUCUAUGAAUAAGGAUCGGCUAACUCCGUGCCAGCAGCCGCGGUAAUACGGAGGAUCCAAGCGUUAUCCGGAAUCAUUGGGUUUAAAGGGUCCGUAGGCGGGUCUAUAAGUCAGUGGUGAAAGUCUGCA
rnacentral:rRNA from 1 species